rnacentral:rRNA from 1 species
UACAGAGGGUGCAAGCGUUGUUCGGAAUUAUUGGGCGUAAAGCGCGUGUAGGCGGCUUUGCAAGUCGGGUGUGAAAGCCCUCAGCUCAACUGAGGAAGUGCGCCCGAAACUGCAGAGCUUGAGUACCGGAGAGGAUGGCGGAAUUCCCCAAGUAGAGGUGAAAUUCGUAGAUAUGGGGAGGAACACCGGUGGCGAAGGCGGCAUCCUGGACCGAGAUUGACGCUGAUGCGCGAAAGCCAGGGGAGCAAACGGG